UCCCCCACCUAAUAUUCACAUUUUUGUGCAUGCAACCUGCAGCUGAAAAGGAAAUAUCAAACAACACUGUGUUCUGGUUUACAUAUAUCAGCUGAAUAACCGCAAAUUUGUGAAGUACCAGACAUUAUAUGCAGAUAUGAUAUCUGAAGAUGCAGGAAAGUGGAGCAAGUCUACAGUGGAAAAUAUACAACAAAGCAUCAAGUUUGGAUAUUUGCCAUGGCUCUGAGGUGACUGUGAGUCCGAAAUGGCAGAACUGGAAACUCACUACCAUCACCUUUGACUUCCAGCAUUCCAGCCAAAUAAAAUAUAGCCUUAGGAUUUUCUCAAAGCAAAAACAGAUCUGGAGUGUAAAGUGUACAGUAUAUAUGUGUGCAUUUUUCUUCUGUACCAGAACCAAAACAGAAAUUGUGUCAGUGUCAGGCCUUCAAUUCUGCAUUUAGUAGGAUUACAGAAAAGCAAUUCAUGGCACUCUGCUUAAAUCCAUACCAAGAGGAUGGCCAAUUUAGAUUGUCAGGUACUCGAG
rnacentral:lncRNA from 11 species